AAAGAUCAUAUUUUAGGGACUGGGGCCAAUUCCAGAGUUCCCCAGUGAAAACCCAAGAUUGCAUUCAAGAACUGGAGACAAAAAACAUAUGAGGCAAGGUAAGAAGACAGAGGUCCAUUGUGAAAAAGAACACUAUCCACAUUCAGCGGAAGAACUGUGGGAGUGGAAACAUAGAAGAAAAACAUAUGAUUGAUCACAUGGUUUGAUGGGGAUAUGAUUGGGGUUUUGGUUUUAAAAAAUCACUUUAUUGCAAAUAUGAAUAAUAUAGAAAUAGGUUUUGAACAAUGAUACAUGUAUAAUCCAGUAGAAUUGCUUGUCAUCUUUGGGAGGGGGGAAUGAAGGAGGGGGAUCGUGAAUCAUGU
rnacentral:lncRNA from 1 species